UUUGUAGUUUGUAGGAUUUAAGUGACAUACUCCACCGUGAUGCAGAUUAAAGGAAGAAAACCAGCAGAAAAACAGCAACAGGAUGACGUGACUUACUCCAGCGUCACAGAUAUUAAAGGGAAAAAGAGACCUCACAAAAAGGAAGAGGGGGUUGUGUAUUCAACUGUGGCAGACAUGAGCAGAUCUACUCAGGUAAAUUUGCACAGCCAUACUAUUUUAGAAAACACUUCUCCAAUUUCUCGUUUGUCAUCAUUUUAACACUGCUUGAUUUGAAAGCUUCUGCUUAAAUGCUUGACAUGUGUUUUGUGAGUGCAUCUUGCAUUACUUACACAUCUAAAAUGAAUUUAAAAAGAACAAAGAU